AAUCGGGGGUGCCAUAGGGCUGAGAAGGAACUAUUUCCUAACCCUUAUACCUGAUCUGGGUCAUGCCAGCGUAGGGAGUAUUA
rnacentral:ncRNA from 1 species